UACGAAGGGGGCUAGCGUUGUUCGGAAUUACUGGGCGUAAAGGGCGCGUAGGCGGCUCUGAUCGUCGGAUGUGAAAGGCCUGGGCUCAACCUGGGAACUGCAUUUGUGACUGCACGGCUGGAGUGCGGCAGAGGGGGAUGGAAUUCCGCGUGUAGCAGUGAAAUUCGUAGAUAUGGGGAGGAACACCGGUGGCGAAGGCGGCCACCUGGACGGUCACUGACGCUGAGACGCGAAAGCGUGGGUAGCAAACAGG
rnacentral:rRNA from 1 species